rnacentral:rRNA from 1 species
UACGAAGGGUGCAAACGUUGCUCGGAAUUAUUGGGCGUAAAGAGCUCGUAGGCGGCUUGGCAAGUCGGGUGUGAAAACUCCAGGCUCAACCUGGAGACGCCACCCGAUACUGCUAUGGCUUGAGUCCGGUAGGGGACCACGGAAUUCCUGGUGUAGCGGUGAAAUGCGCAGAUAUCAGGAGGAACACCGGUGGCGAAGGCGGUGGUCUGGGCCGGAACUGACGCUGAGGAGCGAAAGCGUGGGGAGCGAACAGG